AUUCAGCUGACGAGUUUUAAAUAGGACUAAACGCACUUACUGGAU
rnacentral:hammerhead_ribozyme from 1 species